rnacentral:rRNA from 1 species
GAUGAACGCUAGCGGCAGGCCUAACACAUGCCAGUCGAGGGAGGAGCUUUCGGGCUUCGACCGGCGUACGGGUGCGUAACGCGUAUACAAUCUGCCUUUCACAUAGGGAUAGCCCGAAGAAAUUUGGAUUAAUACCUAAUGGUAUAUAGAGGUGGCAUCACCUUUAUAUUAAAGCUGAGGCGGUGAAAGAUGGGUAUGCGUUCUAUUAGCUAGUUGGAGAGGUAACGGCUCCCCAAGGCGACGAUAGAUAGGGGUUCUGAGAGGGAUAUCCCCCACACUGGUACUGAGAUACGGACCAGACUCCUACGGGAGGCAGCAGUGAGGAAUAUUGGACAAUGGUCGGAAGACUGAUCCAGCCAUGCCGCGUGCAGGAAGAUGGCCUUAUGGGUUGUAAACUGCUUUUGCAGGGGAAGAAUAAGGACUACGCGUAGUUUGAUGACGGUACUCUGCGAAUAAGCAUCGGCUAACUCCGUG